ACUCCUACGGGAGGGCAGCAGUAGGGAAGUCUUCCACAAUGGGCGCGAAAGCCUGAUGGAGCAACACCGCGUGAGUGAAGAAGGGUUUCGGCUCGUAAAGCUCUGUUGUUAAAGAAGAACACGUAUGAGAGUAACUGUUCAUACGUUGACGGUAUUUAACCAGAAAGUCACGGCUAACUACGUGCCAGCAGCCGCGGUAAUACGUAGGUGGCAAGCGUUAUCCGGAUUUAUUGGGCGUAAAGAGAGUGCAGGCGGUUUUCUAAGUCUGAUGUGAAAGCCUUCGGCUUAACCGGGAGAAGUGCAUCGGAAACUGGAUAACUUGAGUGCAGAAGAGGGUAGUGGGAACUCCAUGUGUAGCGGUGGAAUGCGUAGAUAUAUGGAAGAACACCAGUGGCGAAGGCGGCUACCUGGUCUGCAACUGACGCUGAGACUCGAAAGCAUGGGUAGCGAACAGGAUUAGAUACCCUGGUAGGAUAGCG
rnacentral:rRNA from 1 species